rnacentral:rRNA from 1 species
GACGGAGGAUGCAAGCGUUAUCCGGAAUUAUUGGGCGUAAAGCGUCCGCAGGUGGCCUAUCAAGUCUGCUGUCAAAGACCGGGGCUUAACCCCAGAAAGGCAGUGGAAACUGAAAGGCUAGAGGAUGGUAGGGGCAGAGGGAAUUCCUGGUGUAGCGGUGAAAUGCGCAGAUAUCAGGAAGAACACCCGUGGCGAAGGCGGCUCUCUGGGACGGUACUGACGCUGAGACGCGAAAGCGUGGGGAGCGAACAGG